rnacentral:lncRNA from 1 species
AAGUUUAACUGCAGUGGAAUAAACAAUCCAUUAAAAGAGUCAAGUAAAGAAUAAAAUCUACUAUCUUUUAUGAUUUAAAAAGGUUUUUCAUCACUUUUAUCGCUGAGAUCCAGUUUAAUAAAUAAUUCACAUCAUCCCUGCACUACGGCCAAGGAUAUUCAUUAGUAUCACAACCACAAAUUAUCCAUGCACUACGGGCCAAGAAUAUUCGUGUAUUCAUCAAUGGUCAUGAUCAUGCCAACAACUGUCCAUCAAUGCACUACGGGCCAGUGAGGACUUUUACCACAUCAUUUGUAACAUUACGGCCAUGAUUGAAUAAUCACUGGUCAUAAUCAUACCAAGUCCAUCUAUGCACUACAGGCCACAGAUGACUUUCAUUAAAAUAUAAACAUGAGGAUGAUGACAAUGAUAUAAGAAUUCAAUAAAAUAAGUUCAAAACUUAAUUUAUCUAGGAACUAAUAACGUCUAAAUUGUCAACAUGAUACUUAUUUGUAGAGUAAAAUUCAAGAAUGCUCAGAAGAAUAUUUUUAUGAAAAGAUACUGGAUGAAGUACAAAUAUCAAGGAUAUUCCACUAAUUUCAUGGAGUAUAGAAGUCAAAAUUUUAACCAACUGAGUAUACUAAUAAAGAAUAGAAUAACAAAAGAAAUCACCAGGCAUGUGAUAGACCGCACAUGCAGGUUAUUCCAACAGAAUAAUAAAUAACGGAACCAGGUCCGGCGUAAAACGCACAGACAGGAUAUUCCAACAGAAUAAUAAAGACGGAACCAUGUCCGACGUAAAACGCACAGACAGGAUAUUCCAACAGAAUAAUAAAGACGGAAUCAGGUCCGGCGUAAAACGCACAGACAGGAUAUUCCAAUAGAAUAAUAAAGAAUGGAAUAACAAAAGAAUUUCACCAAGUAUAGGGUAGCCCGCGUAUACAGGUUAUUCCAACAGAAUAAUAAAGAAUGGAAUAACAGAAGUUCUCUUCAUGAAUACAAAAGAAAUAAU